rnacentral:rRNA from 1 species
AUGAACGCUAGCUACAGGCUUAACACAUGCAAGUCGAGGGGCAGCAUUUUAGUUUGCUUGCAAACUGAAGAUGGCGACCGGCGCACGGGUGAGUAACACGUAUCCAACCUGCCGAUAACUCCGGAAUAGCCUUUCGAAAGAAAGAUUAAUACCGGAUGGCAUACGAAUAUCGCAUGAUAUUUUUAUUAAAGAAUUUCGGUUAUCGAUGGGGAUGCGUUCCAUUAGUUUGUUGGCGGGGUAACGGCCCACCAAGACUACGAUGGAUAGGGGUUCUGAGAGGAAGGUCCCCCACAUUGGAACUGAGACACGGUCCAAACUCCUACGGGAGGCAGCAGUGAGGAAUAUUGGUCAAUGGGCGAGAGCCUGAACCAGCCAAGUAGCGUGAAGGAUGAAGGCUCUAUGGGUCGUAAACUUCUUUUAUAUGGGAAUAAAGUUUUCCACGUGUGGAAUUUUGUAUGUACCAUAUGAAUAAGGAUCGGCUAACUCCGUGCCAGCAGCCGCGGUAAUACGGAGGAUCCGAGCGUUAUCCGGAUUUAUUGGGUUUAAAGGGAGCGUAGGUAGAUUGUUAAGUCAGUUGUGAAAGUUUGCGGCUCAACCGUAAAAUUGCAGUUGAAACUGGGAGUCUUGAGUACAGUAGAGGUGGGCGGAAUUCGUGGUGUAGCGGUGAAAUGCUUAGAUAUCACGAAGAACUCCGAUUGCGAAGGCAGCUCACUAGACUGUCACUGACACUGAUGCUCGAAAGUGUGGGUAUCAAACAGGAUUAGAUACCCUGGUAGUCCACACAGUAAACGAUGAAUACUCGCUGUUUGCGAUAUACAGUAAGCGGCCAAGCGAAAGCAUUAAGUAUUCCACCUGGGGAGUACGCCGGCAACGGUGAAACUCAAAGGAAUUGACGGGGGCCCGCACAAGCGGAGGAACAUGUGGUUUAAUUCGAUGAUACGCGAGGAACCUUACCCGGGCUUAAAUUGCAACAGAAUAUAUUGGAAACAGUAUAGCCGUAAGGCUGUUGUGAAGGUGCUGCAUGGUUGUCGUCAGCUCGUGCCGUGAGGUGUCGGCUUAAGUGCCAUAACGAGCGCAACCCUUAUCUUUAGUUACUAACAGGUUAUGCUGAGGACUCUAGAGAGACUGCCGUCGUAAGAUGUGAGGAAGGUGGGGAUGACGUCAAAUCAGCACGGCCCUUACGUCCGGGGCUACACACGUGUUACAAUGGGGGGUACAGAAGGCGGCUACCUGGUGACAGGAUGCUAAUCCCAAAAACCUCUCUCAGUUCGGAUCGAAGUCUGCAACCCGACUUCGUGAAGCUGGAUUCGCUAGUAAUCGCGCAUCAGCCAUGGCGCGGUGAAUACGUUCCCGGGCCUUGUACACACCGCCCGUCAAGCCAUGAAAGCCGGGGGUACCUGAAGUACGUAACCGCAAGGAGCGUCCUAGGGUAAAACUGGUAAUUGGGGCU